UACGGAGGGGGCUAGCGUUGUUCGGAAUUACUGGGCGUAAAGGGCGCGUAGGCGGCCGAUCAAGUCAGGCGUGAAAUUCCCGGGCUCAACCUGGGGGCUGCGCUUGAUACUGAUUGGCUUGAAUGCGGGAGAGGAUAGUGGAAUUCCCAGUGUAGAGGUGAAAUUCGUAGAUAUUGGGAAGAACACCGGUGGCGAAGGCGGCUAUCUGGCCCGUAAUUGACGCUGAGGCGCGAAAGCGUGGGGAGCAAACAGG
rnacentral:rRNA from 1 species